AUUUAAGCACGACUCUGCAGAAGGAACAAAGCACCCUCCCCCUGGGCUCCUGGUUGCAGAGCUCCAAGUCCUCACACAGAUACACCUGUUUGAGAAGCAGCGGGCAAGAAAGACGCAAGCCCAGAGGUCCAUCCAAGCUGAGCAAUCGCGCUGACUCAAGAAGAAGCCUUUGGGACCAAGGAAACUUUCCCCUGAUCAUCAAGAAUCUUAAGAUAGAAGACUCAGAUACUUACAUCUGUGAAGUGGAGGACCAGAAGGAGGAGGUGCAAUUGCUAGUGUUCGGAUGUGAGUGGGGCAGGUGGGGAUGAGGAUACCUCCUGCCUGGUUCCCUUCCCCUCUACUCCCACCUCUGCACCAAAUCCAGCCUGAGCUGGUGAUACCGCAGCAGCCCCAAGAGGACCAGGCUGUCAAACUGGCCUCCAAAUCUCUAAAACCCUUCUUGAUCAGUGACUGCCAACUCUGACACCCACCUGCUUCAGGGGCAGAGCCUGACCCUGACCUUGGAGAGCCCCCCUGGUAGUAGCCCCUCAGUGCAAUGUAGGAGUCCAACGGGUAAAAACAUACAGGCGGGGAAGACCCUCUCCGUGUCUCAGCUGGAGCUCCAGGAUAGUGGCACCUGGACAUGCACCGUCUUGCAAGACCAGAAGAAGGUGGAGUUCAAAAUAGACAUCGUGGUGCUAGCUUUCCAGAAGGCCUCCAGCAUAGUCUACAAGAAAGAGGGGGAAAAGGUGGAGUUCUCCUUCCCACUCACCUUUACAGUUGAAAGGCUGAUGGGCAGUGGCGAGCUGUGGUGGCAGGCGGAGAGGGCUUCCUCCUCCAAGUCUUGGAUCACCUUUGACCUGAAGAACAAGGAAGUGUCUGUGAAACAGGUUACCCAGGACCCUAAGCUCCAGAUGGGCAAGAAGCUCCCGCUCCACCUCACCCUGCCCCAGGCCUUACCUCAGUAUGCUGGCUCUGGAAACCUCACCCUGGCCCUUGAAGCG
rnacentral:sRNA from 1 species